GAUUUUCAAGCUGGUUGCAUAAGUCUCUUGUUGCUGCUGCUGCUUCUACCUCACUUCUAGUUCUCACUCUUUUUUUUCCCCUCUUAUUCGAAUUCUUUGACAUUAGUUUUAUAUUUUCACAUACUUUUAGGCUUUUCUUAAGAAGUUCUUAGAUUUUCUUGUUUGGUUGAUUCAAGUCUCUGCUUUAAAGAAUAUGUGCUUUGUCUCAUUUUUUUCUGUGGAAAAAUGGGUUUGAGUUUAUUAUUUAUUUCCUAACCAUUUUUAUAUAAAUUUUAUAUAGGCGGUGAUUCCAAGGCUUUAUUGUUUCAGAAUUUGUCCUUUCAUAUUUGUUUGGUUUUUAUUUUUGUUAGUUAAAAUGGCAAACUCAUUUCGGAA
rnacentral:misc_RNA from 1 species